UACAGGGGGUGCAAACGUUGCUCGGAAUCAUUGGGCGUAAAGCGCACGUAGGCGGUUCGUUAUGUCGGAUGUGAAAGCCCUUGGCUUAACCGAGGAAGUGCAUCCGAAACUGGCGAGCUAGAGUACUAAAGAGGAUCGCGGAAUUCCCGGUGUAGGAGGUAGAAAUUCGUAGAUAGUCGGGAGGAACACCGGUGGCGAAGGCGGCGAUCUGGGUAGAUACUGACGCUGAGGUGCGAAAGCGUGGGGAGCAAACAGG
rnacentral:rRNA from 1 species